GCCUGGCUGGCUCAGUUGGUAGAGCAUGUGACUCUUGAUCUCAGGGUGGUGAGUUCAAGCCCCACGUUGGGUA
rnacentral:tRNA from 1 species